CCUACGGGUGGCAGCAGUGGGGAAUAUUGGGCAAUGGGCGCAAGCCUGACCCAGCAACGCCGCGUGAAGGAAGAAGGCUCUCGGGUUGUAAACUUCUUUUUUCAGGGACGAAGCAAGUGACGGUACCUGAUGAAUAAGCCUCGGCUAACUACGUGCCAGCAGCCGCGGUAAUACGUAGGUGGCAAGCGUUAUCCGGAUUUACUGGGUGUAAAGGGCGUGUAGGCGGGAAAGCAAGUCAGAUGUGAAAACUAUGGGCUCAACCGGUGGCCUGCAUUUGAAACUGUUUUUCUUGAGUACUGGAGAGGCAGACGGAAUUCGUAGUGUAGCGGUGAAAUGCGUAGAUAUGAGGAGGAACACCAGUGGCGAAGGCGGUCUGCUGGACAGCAACUGACGCUGAGGCGCGAAAGCGUGGGGAGCAAACAGGAUUAGAUACCCCGGUAGUC
rnacentral:rRNA from 1 species